UACGUAGGGUGCGAGCGUUGUCCGGAUUUAUUGGGCGUAAAGAGCUCGUAGGCGGCUCAGAAAGUCGGGUGUGAAACCUCCAGGCUCAACCUGGAGACGCCACCUGAUACUGCUGUGGCUAGAGUCCGGUAGGGGAACACGGAAUACCCGGUGUAGCGGUGAAAUGCUUAGAUAUCGGGUGGAACACCAGUGGCGAAGGCGGUGUUCUGGGCCGGAACUGACGCUGAGGAGCGAAAGCGUGGGUAGCAAACAGG
rnacentral:rRNA from 1 species